AUUUGUUUUCAUUGUUCAAUUCAUGCUUUGAUGUCGAAUGUCCUUCUGUGCAUAUUUUCAUGAUUGUUUUCGUUUAAUUACUAGGAGGCCUACUAGUUUAUUAUUCGUUGCAAUCUACUGCUAGGUUAGAUAUCAAAUCCGUAAUUGUUUGAUCCCUCUAAUCUGUGAAGCAACUAAGAUCUAAUAAUUUGCUGCGUCAGAAAUUUUCAGAUCUUAGGAAGAAUACUCGGCUAAAUCAAAUGCAACCGCUUGUGUUUGUGUUGUUUAGCUUCAUCGAUCUCUCUAAUUCUUAAGGCUGCUACUAGAUUUAACCUUUAGCGCUUGUCUUGGGUUGUUUAGUAGUUAGGGUUAAUUAGAUCGCUUGUUUUUAAUUAACUACGACUAAGAAGAGAUAGAAAAAUAUUUCUAUCGGUGGAUAUUCAAAGUGCAAAUUGAUAUCUUUGCAUCAAUGAUCAGUUGUAAAAUUCCGAUGGUGGAUGUUGACUUAGACC
rnacentral:lncRNA from 1 species